rnacentral:rRNA from 1 species
GACGAACGCUGGCGGCGUGCUUAACACAUGCAAGUCGAACGGAAAGGCCCUGCUUUUGUGGGGUGCUCGAGUGGCGAACGGGUGAGUAACACGUGAGUAACCUGCCCUUUACUUUGGGAUAACUUCAGGAAACUGGGGCUAAUACCGGAUAGGAGCUCCUGCUGCAUGGUGGGGGUUGGAAAGUUUCGGCGGUUGGGGAUGGACUCGCGGCUUAUCAGCUUGUUGGUGGGGUAGUGGCUUACCAAGGCUUUGACGGGUAGCCGGCCUGAGAGGGUGACCGGCCACAUUGGGACUGAGAUACGGCCCAGACUCCUACGGGAGGCAGCAGUGGGGAAUAUUGCACAAUGGGCGGAAGCCUGAUGCAGCAACGCCGCGUGCGGGAUAACGGCCUUCGGGUUGUAAACCGCUUUCGCCUGUGACGAAGCGUGAGUGACGGUAAUGGGUAAAGAGGCACCGGCUAACUACGUG